CUCUUUCCCCACCGCCAGCCACCAUUAGCCGCCCUUUCUCCUCUGCUCCCACCCCCAGGGCCGUCCCGCUCUUUUCCCCUACGCAACCCUAACCCUAGACCGUCCGGCCUGCUGCCCCCGCAACCUCAACCUAAUGGCGGAUGAGCCGCAGCCAGAAUCAGUUCCCCCCGCCGCCGCCGUGCCGGAGGACGACGACGAGGAGGAGGAGGAGGAGGAGGAGGAGGAGGAAGACGAGGAGGACGAGGAGGAGGAAGACGAGGAUGACGAGGAGGAAGAAGCGGAGGAGGAGGAACAUGACGAGGAGACGGAUGCGCUGCUGGAGCGCGCGCAGGUGGUGAUCUCGCGGGUCCUCGAGCAGGAGGCCGACCCCAACCCGCGCCUCAUCCACACCCUCGCCACCAUCUGCGAGGACCAGGAGGCUAGACAUUUGCAAGACUGCGCAAAUGAUCCAUCCUUCAACAAUGCAAACACGAGGGGCUCCCAUACAAUAGGCAAGCUGGCGAAUUUGAUAAAGGAUAACGAUGAUUUCUACGACCUCGUCUUCUGUAAGUUCUUGUCGGAUACAUCAUACUCCGUGGCAGUACGCUGUGCUUCUGCUAGGCUGCUCCUGAGCAUCAAUGAUGCGUUGGCGUCCCAGUUCCCGCACGCUUUUGAAGAUGCUACUAUUGAAAAUCUAAAAAAAUGGAUAAGGGAAGACGCCCAGGCAUGUGAUUGGAAGCAUUUUGGGAAUGGUGAAAACCCCACAGAUACUGAGAUGCUGAGAACAUAUGCUGUUGGGUUGCUUUCCAUGUCGCUGUAUAGUGGUGGGCAAUUGGUAGAAGACAUCUUGAACAUUGGGGUAUCAGCCAAGCUCAUGCAUUUCUUGCGAACACGAGUCUAUGGGGAUGUCACAUCUUCACAGCAAGAUUCCAAGCAUCCUCCGGGUAGAGAUGAUAACAGGGGCAGAGUACGGCUUCUUCAAGACAGUUUGGUAUUGGACGGAACAAGGGAUGGAGAUGGAAUGCCGACUGACCCAAUUUUGGAAAAAGUGCUUGAUCAGGGUGCUGUGAUGAGGCAAGCAGAGGGAGAACAGUUGAUGGAUGCCACUGUUGACAUGCCCCAGCCAGAUGGGCUAAUGUGCUCAGCUGGUUCAGAUGCAAAGUCAGUCUAUGGGGAAAAGCAUCCUGCAUGUGAAAGCUUAAGAGAUGAACUCUUGAAGAAAAAGCUGAGUCGUGCAGGAUCCCGAUCAAGAGGGAAAAGCAAAGCAGGUGAAAGGUUGCUUGAUAGUGAACAGACACCUUUAUCACCAACCUCAGCAUUGGGAGUUGGAAAUCGGGCUAGCAAAGACAAGAAUGAGGAUAAGGUCGAGGUCCUAGAGAAAGCAAUCAAUUUGAACAAUAGCUCUGAAGCCUUUGAGGCGGCUUAUACUCUUAUUUCUAAAGAAGAAUAUGAAGACCGGUUCAGGGAUUGCAUAAUUGGCUUGAAGGAUAUAACUGAUAUUGUUUUGAAGGCAGUUAGAGCUGCAGAAGCUGAAGCCAGAUCUGCAAAUGCACCUGAGGAACCUGUGAAAGCUGCAGGUGAUGCUGCUGCUGAGCUUGUGAAAUCUGCUGCUUUAGAGGUUUGGAAGAGUGAAAAUAAUGGCGAUGCAGUUGUAUUAGCUGCUGAGAAAGCUGCAAGUACUGUAGUGGAUGCUGCCAUGUCCACUAGUGUUUCACGAAGCUCUGACCAAGUUAAGGAGGAGCAUGUGGUUGAAGAAGAUGUGAAAAUCAGUCCGGACCAGGAUUUGGAAGAUUUUGUUCUCCCUGACUACGAGCAGCUCUUGCAACUUAGAGAAAAAUAUAGCAUUCUGUGCUUACAGGUUUUGGGAGAGUAUAUCGAAGCUUUGGGUCCUGUUCUGCAUGAAAAGGGUGUUGAUGUUUGCCUCGCCUUAUUGCAACGGGUCAUCAAAGACCAGGAGGGAUGUGGCCGCGUUUCUCUACUUCAUGAAAUCCUUAAACUAAUUUGUGCCCUGGCUGCCCACCGGAAAUUUGCUGCGCUAUUUGUUGACCGGGGUGGUAUACAGAAGAUCUUCUCUGUCCCUAGAAUUACUCAAACAUAUACUGCUCUUUCUGCGUGCUUAUUUACUUUUGGUUCCCUCCAGUUUUUGCAGUCUACCAUGGAGCGUGUUUGUGCGCUUUCAUCUGACACACUCAACAAUGUGGUUGAGCUAGCUCUUCAACUCUUAGAAUGCCCACAAGAUUCAGCUAGAAAGAAUGCUGCCAUAUUCUUUGCUGCUGCUUUUGUGUUCAAAGCUAUUCUGGAUUCAUUUGAUGCACAGGAUGGGAUGCAAAAACUUCUGAGUAUUUUACAUGUUGCGGCAUCUGUAAGGUCUGGGGGUAACUCUGGAGCAUUAGGAUCUUCCAAUACGAAUGAAGGGAAUGAUCGAUCACCUGCUGAAGUUCUGACUGCGACAGAAAAGCAGGUUGCAUAUCAUUCAUGUGUUGCACUACGUCAGUAUUUUAGAGCUCACCUUCUCCAGCUUGUUGAUUCCAUUCGGCCAAGCAAGAGUAUCCGUAGUAUUGCUCGGAAUACUUCCAGUGCAAGAGCUGGCUACAAACCUUUUGACAUCGGCAAUGAGGCUAUGGAUGCUAUUUUUCUUCAGAUCCAGCGGGAUAGAAAGUUAGGACCUGCUCUUGUGAGAACUCGCUGGCCUGUGAUGGAUAGAUUCUUGCUCUCCAAUGGUCAUAUAACGAUUCUGGAGUUAUGCCAGAGUUUACCUGCAGAUCGAUAUCUUCACGACUUAGCUCAAUACGCAUUUGGAGUUCUUCACAUCAUAACACUUAUGCCAUACAGCCGGAAAUUGAUAGUGCAUGCUACAUUAAGUAACAGCCGCAAUGGUAUGACCGUUUUACUUGAUAUAGCAAACAGUGUUGUUGGCUAUGUUGAUCCUGAGGUGAUAUGUCCAGCACUGAAUGUGCUUGUCAAUCUCGUAUGCCCCCCUCCUUCAAUCAGCAACAAGCCGUCCUCAACUGCCAAUCAGCAACCUGGGAGUUAUUCAGAAAGCAGGGACAGGAAUGCUGAAAGAAUUACUUCAGAAAGAAAUCUAGCAGCGAACCAAGGUGAAUCUGGCACACCUGUAGUGCCAUCUGGAGUUGUUGGUGAUAAGAGAAUAUCGCUAGGCAUAGGAGCUGGGGGUCCUGGUCUUGCUGCUCAAUUGGAGCAAGGGUAUCGCCAAGCUCGAGAAGUAGUCAGAUCCAAUAAUGGUAUAAAGAUUCUUUUACAGCUUCUUAGUACUCGGAUGGUUACACCUCCUGUGGCUAUUGAUGCUAUUCGAUCCCUUGCUUGUCGUGUACUGCUUGGCUUGGCUAGAGAUGAUGCAAUUGCUCAUAUACUGACAAAGCUCCAGGUAGGGAAGAAAUUAUCGGAACUGAUUCGUGAUACCAGUACCCAGACAUCUGGAAGUGAUAAUGCAAGAUGGAUAAAUGAACUGACCCAAGUGGCAAUUGAGCUUAUUGCGGUCUUGACAAAUUCUGGUAAAGAAACAACCUUAGCAGCAACUGAUGCUGCUGCUCCAGCAUUGAAGCGCAUAGAGCGAGCUGGCAUAGCUGCUGCUACUCCUAUCUCGUACCAUUCCAGGGAACUGAUGCAACUGAUACAUGAACAUCUCCUUGGAUCUGGUUUGGCUGCUACUGCUGCCAUAUUGCAGAAGGAGGCUGACCUUGCACCUUCGCAAUCAACUGCUGUGGUGCUAUCUGUCCAUCGGGGGGCCGUUGCUCAGGAACCAUCAUCUCUUCAAGUUCAGCAACAAUGGCCUUCUGGCCGUGUGCAGGGAUUUAUGCCCAACAAAACAUUGACUGCCGCAGAUCAAGCUGGCCAGAGAUCAGAUUCUGUUGUCCCUUCAUCUAAAAAGAAGCCAAUGGUCUUCUCACCCAGUUUUUCUAAACGAGCUCAACCCUUUCUUUCAUUUACUGGAGAUGCGGCGACAUCACAUAAAACACCAAUGCCGUUGUCACUUAAGAGGAAGCUUGCGGAUACGGACCUUAGUUCUGCAUCAGCAGCAAAGCGUCCUGCAAUAGCUGAUCAAUCAUGCCAAUCUCCUGUAUUUAAAACUCCUGCUCCUACUCGCAGAGGCCUAUCUGUGGCGGUGGAUUCUCCGACCACUACUGCAUUUCAUCCAGGAAGGAGCAACAUUUCCACAGAGAACUUUGAAGAUUCUCAAGGCACGCCACAUCUUUGUGCAAAUGAUCAGCAAUCAGGAAAUUUAGAGCGCAUGACACUGGACUCACUGGUUGUACAAUACCUGAAACAUCAGCACCGCCAGUGUCCUGCUCCAUUAACAACUUUGCCACCAGUCUCUCUGCUGCACCCUCAUGUUUGUCCUGAGCCUAGCCGCAGCAUCAGUGCACCACCAAAUGUAACUGCCCGUAUGGGAAGUCGUGAGAUAAGCAGGGAGUUUAGUGGGAUCCAAGUACCUCGUAGGGAUCGCCAAUUUAUAUACAGCAGGUUCAGGCCAUGCCGUGUUUGCCGUGAUGAGUCUUCGCUGUUGACUUGCAUGACUUUUAUUCAAGAUGCAUCACGAGUGGCAGCUGGAAACCAUAGUGGCGAGUUAAGAAUAUUUGACAGCAACACUGCAGGUAUCAUAGAGACACAGUCAUGCCACCAACAUCUUGUUACAACGCUGGAGUCAGCAUCUUCUGGUGGUGGAAAUGAGCUGAUUCUCUCGUCGAGCUUAAAUGAGGUUAAGCUCUGGGAUGCUUUCUCAGUGUCUACGGGGCCUUUGCACACAUUCGAGGAUUGCAAGGCUGCUAGAUUUAACCAUACUGGAACUUUAUUCGCCGCCAUUUCUACUGAUGCAACUCGCCGGGCAGUUCUACUGUACGAUGUGCAGACACAUAAUAUUGAUAUGCAGCUUCCCAAUAACUCAAGCCUGGGUUCAGGCCGUAAUUAUGUACAUCCAAUUAUACAUUUCAGUCCUUCAGAUGACAUGUUGCUGUGGAACGGGUUCCUGUGGGAUAGACGCAGUCCCAACCCUGUCCAUCAGUUUGACCAGUUCACAGACUAUUGCGGUGGUGGCUUCCAUCCAGCUGGAAAUGAGGUGAUCCUAAACUCAGAGGUGUGGGAUCUGAGAAAAUUUAAGCUUCUGAGGAGCGUCCCUUCUCUGGACCAGACAGUGAUCAAAUUUAAUGGCAGGGGUGAUGUUAUCUAUGCCAUCCUCAGGCGUAAUCUUGAGGAUGUAACAUCCUCCAUUAAUACUCGUAGGGUCAGACAUCCUCUGUUCCCUGCAUUUCGGACGAUCGAUGCUGUCACGUACUCGGAUAUUGCAACCGUCCAAAUAGACCGUGGCGUCCUUGACCUUGCCAUUGAGCCCAACGAUUCCCUCCUUGGAGUUGUUGCGAUGGAUGAUCCCGACGAGAUGUUCUCCUCUGCUCGCCUAUUUGAAGUUGGCAGAAGACGACCGACUGAUGAUGAUUCAGAUCCAGAGGACGGAGGGGACACAGAGGACGAGGAUGACGAUGAUGAUGACUCGGAGGUUGAUGCUCUCCUUGGGUCUGAUUUGGCGCUGGGGGACACGGAUUCAGAUGAGGAUCAAAGCAACAGCAGCGAUGAUGAGGGCGGUGACGACGAUGAUGACGAGAAUAUGAACAGUGGGAAUGAAAACGACGAUGACGAUGCCGAGUUUGAUGAAGGCAACUUUGAUGUGGCAGGCGGGCUGCUGGAGAUCAUGGGUGGCCGGGACGGCGAUGAGAGUGAUAUGAUCGAGUCCUUCAGUAGCGGCGACGACGAAGGCGGUUGGAUUAUGUAAGAGAGUAGAUGGUUUUAUUUUUGCAUGGUUAGGUUGCGGUUGCGAGGACAUCUAGUAAUGGGGCAUGAACUCUGAGGCGUUAGAUGUUGGUAUGCAAUUUCCAAGGUUACUGUGCGUAGUUACCUUGACGUUUCUGUAUAGACAAUGAAGGAGAUGGACAAAAAAAUCAGGGAUCCAACUUACUUUUAUGAGUACCGUCUGUUACUCCUUGAUGUCACCAACUUCUCACUGUGAUCCAGAGCAAAUAUGGGAGCUCUGGCAAAUCCUGGGUGAGUGCAUGCUUCUUGUGGUUGUUCAAAUAGCCUGACGACCAGGAGAGGGAAUUUCGACAUCUCAGCCUCUGUUGUGUUGGUUGGGGCAUCUCGAUUGUUUUAUUUAGGCAGCUAGCGAACUAAGUUCCUGAUUGGUAUCAGCAGUAGCUUGUCCUUGGUGACUGGUGACAAUCAGAUCAUAAUCAUACGGUUUUACAAUGUUCCCUAUGAAGGAUGAACCUAGUGGUGUCAAAUUUGGGAGAUUUUGACUCGACCCUGCCUUGCUGUGGAUGAAACACAUGCAGAAUCAUUACAUUGUCAGACCAGGAGUGCAGAUUCGAGAGCUAGCUAAUGUUUACUUGCCAGUUUAUGUACUGCUUGUUUAUGUUCUUUUACUGUAGCUUUUGUCAUUUUGAUUCAUGCAUGUGUAGAACACAUGUACUUAGUUUUCAUCAAGACCCGUAUGUGCAAUGACCUCUCCUUUUGUAGCUCCAGUGACCUCGUGUACUUCAGCUCCUAGGUUCCUUUUCUCUGCUGAAGAUUGUAUUCGUCUGUUGUACUCUGCUCUUUAUAUAUUUUCUGUAU